GAUGAACGCUGGCGGCGUGCCUAAUACAUGCAAGUCGAGCGAACAGAUAAGGAGCUUGCUCCUUUGACGUUAGCGGCGGACGGGUGAGUAACACGUGGGUAACCUAUCUAUAAGACUGGAAUAACUCCGGGAAACCGGGGCUAAUGCCGGAUAACAUGUUGAACCGCAUGGUUCUACAGUGAAAGGCGGCUUUGCUGUCACUUAUAGAUGGACCCGCGCCGUAUUAGCUAGUUGGUGAGGUAACGGCUCACCAAGGCAACGAUACGUAGCCGACCUGAGAGGGUGAUCGGCCGCACUGGAACUGAGACACGGUCCAGACUCCUACGGGAGGCAGCAGUAGGGAAUCUUCCGCAAUGGGCGAAAGCCUGACGGAGCAACGCCGCGUGAGUGAUGAAGGUCUUCGGAUCGUAAAACUCUGUUAUUAGGGAAGAACAAAUGCGUAAGUAACUGUGCGCGUCUUGACGGUACCUAAUCAGAAAGCCACGGCUAACUACGUG
rnacentral:rRNA from 1 species